GCGCUGGCAAAAUCCAGUGCCGGGAUUGCAACCCCGUUUGUCCAAAGAGAGGCUAAAAAAACAUGUUGGUGUUUUUUUA
rnacentral:sRNA from 1 species